AGGGCAGAGCCAGAGAAAGGAUUAAUCGGAAAGCAAGGUAGUAAAAAUAAUUUCCAGCCAGACCAGUUUCUGAGGAUGGCAGGAAUAAUCUGCUGAGGAGGGUCGUGAGCUGGUUGCAUUCUUGAAAUACCUUCCUGCCAAAGCAGCCUAAUGAAAAUGUUCAGUUUGUGUAAAAAAAACGCUAACUACAUCUUGGGUGAGAUGGAAAACUAGGUGCUGGGAACAGGAAUGGAAUGGAGUCUCCAGAAAAAGAGCACAGUUACCUGGAUGGAAAGGGGAACCCAAGUACUUCUUGCACAGGGGAGUAAUUCCAUUUCUCACACCAGCGCCAGUCUGAAAGCUCGGAAGACUAAACCUCUGGUCCCAGUGAAUGACCCAGAUUGGAUCAUGCAAGAAAAUUAUUACACCGGAGAAGAAAAAUAUCCAUCCAUGCAUCCAUCCAUAUUGUACAUUCCCUGCUUCCCUCCAGGAGCUCAAGGUGACAGAGUUCUUUUAGGUCACUUUUUUACUUUAUUCCCAUAAUGACCAUGGGGUAGUUUGAGCUGAGAGAUAAUAACGUCUCAAAACUUCUGAGACCACCUACUGCCACCGUUUGCCUCCCACCGACCCGUGCGCUCUCACAGAGAGGGACUCCUCAGGGUACCGUCAGCCAAGCAAUGUCGGCUGGCGGCCCCCAGGGGAAGGGCCUUCUCUGUGGGGGCUCCCACCCUCUGGAACGAACUUCCCCCAGGACUUCGUCAACUGCCGGACCUUCGGACCUUCCGCUGUGAGCUGAAGACGUAUCUAUUUAUUCGCGCAGGACUGGCAUAGACUUUUUAGAAGUUUUUAUUAUUCGGUUUUAAAUUUUAAAGUGGGUUUUAUUGUUCUAAAUGCAUUUUAAUUUGGGGCCAUAUUUAAUAAGUUUUUUAAUUAUUGAUUUUAUUCUGUAUUUAUUCAUUGUUGUUUUAUUUGACUGUGAACCGCCCUGAGUCCUUCGGGAGAAGGGCGGUAUAAAAAUUUAAUAAAUAAAUAAAU